GGAGCUGCAGCGAUUCCACGGUGAUUCAGCAGGCAUCUGAAAUAGUGUAACCGAGCCAAGACGGUUGUUUCCAGCGCAAGCUUCCAAAAUUUGUACAGUUCAUACCUGCUGCUGCAGCUGCUCGUGGCCAUAUCGUUUGCUGAACAUCAGAGGUGUCUGCUGUCUCACCCCACAUGCAAACCUCUCCACCAAGUACAAGCUUUUGCUGUGCUGUGUUAUUAAUUCCAGCGAGUGGCUCACUAGUGUAGAAAUCUUGCCAGGGAACAUCAAGAUGAUCAAGGUACCAUACACCUUGGUUACUCAUUAUACAUCUGAAACCCUUUUCAACAACUUUAGGGCAGACUCCAGGACCCAGCCUGCAAUAAAGUGUACAUUCAAGGUGUCAAAAGUUAGCAAGCAGAGAGCGAACCAAUUUACUGGAAUCCAAUUAAGGUUAAUUGCUAUCUCUUGAGCCUUCAGGACGAAGUAUUUGUAAGCAUCUUUUGUAGUCAUGUUGCGUUCAUGAAGCCUGGAAAAUAGGUGCUGUUAAGCAGCAUGUGUCUCUGAGUAACAACCAAUCCCUAAAUUGAGCCAGUUUUUUCUUAAGAAGGAAAGAGGAACUAACCAGACAAAAUUCCAGAAAUAACUUCAAAUGUGAAAUUGCUAGUAACAUCUAACGGUUCUCUGCACUUAGGAGAAGGCCAGAGCUUUGGAUAUCCCUUUCCCCUGCAGAAAUUAAUAUUUGCAUAAGUAUCUCUGAGUAGAUAACAAGCAAAUGAUAAACUUGAUACCUGACAAUAUCACGUGCAUCUUCCACAGUGUAGCGCUCCAAUUUUGAAUAUGAACCCUUCCAUAGUUUUGGAUAUGAUGGUACUUCUAAUGGAAAAGAUUGCUCGUCGAUGAUAUGCCAAUGAAGAACAUUCUACU
rnacentral:sRNA from 1 species